CAUAUGGCGUCUGACUUCGAAUCAGAAGAUUGAGGGUUCGAGUCCCUCUGUGGUCU
rnacentral:tRNA from 1 species